GUCCAUGUGCCCAUUCCUGGGUGCUUGCCUUACUGUGAUCUGAAAGUCACCUGGAUCCAUUUGGAGUGUAUUCAGCUGCAAGUAACAGAAACACAGCUAACACUGGCACACACAGGAGCAGUGCUUUCUUUUCUCAUAGCGAGACCUCUUAGAGGAGUGCAGUGCUUGGCACAGCGGAGCUGGAGGUCUAUUUCCCCACUCUUUGUCCUGACCAGGCUCACUUUUGUCCUGAUCCUUGCCACCUCAUGGUCACAGGUUCACCACCACACUCCAGAAGAUCAAAAACCUCUUGAAGAUAAAGCCAGCUGGAAAACUACGUUACGACUGGAAUGACAUCAUUCGGCUACGACACAGAGCCAGAGGCUGCUCUGAGAAAUCUGGGCGAGGCAGUGAUAGCAUGGAUGGGAACACCGCGGUGUGAUGAAUCCCACCCUUUUUAUUAGCAAAUGGCUUUUUUAUUGCCAUGACAUUUUGAAAAUGAAACCGU